rnacentral:rRNA from 1 species
UACGUACCGUCCAAACGUUAUUCGGAAUUACUGGGCUUAAAGGGUACGUAGGCGGCGCUGUCAGUCGGGUGUGAAAUCCCUCGGCUCAACCGAGGAACUGCGCCCGAUACUGCAGUGCUUGAGGGAGACAGAGGUAAGCGGAACUGAUGGUGGAGCGGUGAAAUGCGUUGAUAUCAUCAGGAACACCAGUGGCGAAAGCGGCUUACUGGGUCUCUUCUGACGCUGAGGUACGAAAGCCAGGGGAGCGAAGGGG